rnacentral:rRNA from 1 species
UACGGAGGGUGCAAGCGUUAUCCGGAUUCACUGGGUUUAAAGGGUGCGUAGGUGGGCAGGUAAGUCAGUGGUGAAAUCUCCGAGCUUAACUUGGAAACUGCCGUUGAUACUAUCUGUCUUGAAUAUUGUGGAGGUGAGCGGAAUAUGUCAUGUAGCGGUGAAAUGCUUAGAUAUGACAUAGAACACCAAUUGCGAAGGCAGCUCGCUACGCAUAUAUUGACUCUGAGGCACGAAAGCGUGGGGAUCAAACAGG